AUUGAACGCUGGCGGCAGGCCUAACACAUGCAAGUCGAACGAGUGGGGGACGGGUGAGUAGUGUGGGGGAAUAUGCAUGAUAGAGGGGGAUAACUACUGGAAAUGGUAGAAAAUAGCGCAUACCAUAAGAUGAUCCCCGAUGGGAUUAGCUUGUUGGUGGUGUCACGGCUCAUAAAGGCGACGAUCCCUAGGGUGUAUGAGAGGAUGACCGGCCACACUGGAAAUGAGACACGGUCCAGAGUCCUACGGGAGGCAGCAGUGGGGAAUAUUGCACAAGGGGCGCAAGCCUGAUGCAGCCAGGCCGUGUGUAUGAAGAAGGACUUCGGGUUGUAAAGUACGUUCAGCGGGGAGGCGUUACCCGAAGAAGAAGGACCGGCUAACUCCGGGCCAGCAGCCGCGGUAAUGC
rnacentral:rRNA from 1 species